UUAUUAUAAAUACAUUUUAGUUGUAGCAGUAAAAUACAUUUUGUGUUACCAUGAAUCUUUUAAAACAAAAGAACUUCACUUAGACAAUGAUCAUACUGUAGGAACUGUAGACCCCCAAGUUGAAAACUUGUUCUAAGAAACCAAUGUAGCUAAAGUAAUUCCAAAACUAAGUUAGAAAAGAAGAGACGAAGACAAAGAAAGAAAAGUAUAAACCCUACAGAGUGGCUUUGGGGUUAUUUUAUAGUACACAGUCAUUUUUACUUUUAAGGAUAAACUCUUUAGGUAUUAGAGCCUCUUAAAUGAGGUAUCAUUGACUGCAAAAAAAAAAAAUUAUUUUGCUAUAAUUGCCCCAUAAAUUAUGCUUAACUAGAUGGCUGCACAAUUGAGAUUCAGAGAGAUGGAAAAGAACCACUUCAGUUUCUUACAGCCUCCCUGUGGAAGACUUUCCAAGAUAAGGCCCAGUACGAUUUUGCUACGUAACAGAUCCUGUAAGUUCGCUGAACAAGUUUAGGUAAGAGUUGUAUUGUUGAAGCAUUGAAAAAAAUCCUGUGUUACUAUAACAGGACCCUUUAAUAAAAUGCAAAACUCAUCACCUUUAUAAUUUAGAGGAGAAGUGUUUUAACCACCGUCUUUGCCCAGGAUACAACUACUACAUAUAACAAGUACCUUCGUAGGUUUCAAAAAAGUCAGGUAGAUGACUGGCACAGGAAUCAGGUACAGUAUGGUGUCACGUACACGCAUUUGUGGGAAGCAGACAGGACCCUUGCUCUGUAUGGGGUGGGAGUGGGUGGGCGAGAAACAUCUCAGGUGUAACCGACACUCUGAGACUUUAACCUGGACAGAAGAGCCCUCUGACCUACAGAGAGGUAUGAAGAGGUCCCCGCAGAGAGGGUAUCGCGCAAAGCGAAGUGUAAAUAAAGCAAAGCUUCCUCUGAGUGGGGACUGCAUAAAGGAACCUGGGCCGAACACACACGGUCAUCACCAAAGGUCCGCCAGCCUUUUAGGUAGUACUGGGUCUUAAGGAUCCCAAAGCUGUGCGUUCCGUGGCGGUUCUCAUGUGUACUGAACACCUAAGGUGCUCUAUAUUCGAUGACCUUAAAAAUAUUUUUUUUUUCCUUUCUAGUAUCUCAGUAAAUUCAAAACCAAACUAAAAGCCAGAAGCAGAGCCCAAUGCUCCCCAUGGUGCAGUCAGGAUAAAUAGCAAAACAAGAACAACGAUACAUAAAUUUGAAGAUACCCAAAGAUCUAUCAGGUUUGUUAUAUUAUAGGCAGUUUCUUUCUCAGAAAUAACUUGCUCAUACAUGUGCACUUAUGACUUAGGAAUAAUUCAUGCUGUGUAGGUGGUAGACUCUCCUAGACUGUUUUGCAAACAUAUAGAUUUUUUUUUUUAAAGGUAGCAAAGUAAUUGGAGACAAUGAUUUCUUCUCUGUUGUAUACAACACUUCAGGCUCUCCCUAACACCUGCUGGCUUAGAAGAGCAUCCAAAAUAACUUUGUUAACCUGAGAAACACAUAAUUUGAAAAGCAAAUCCUUUACCCUCACCACUCCCUCUCCCCACCCCACCCCACUCCCUCCCCCCCAAAAAAACACCAUAAAAUCUACAGAAUACAUUUGGGGAUUAUAUAUUGUUUUCGAUGCUCCAUGUCACUGCCAUCUUAGGGCUGGGACUCCUGUACCUAGUGUCUCGAUAAAUACAAGGUGCAUUCUCGUGACAUUCUGAUGGCUUCUUUCCACCAUUCUCAUCUCCAUGCAUACGGAUCAUCAAGACUGACUCUAAGCACACCAAACAAAUGCACAGCUUCCAGGCCAAAGCCCAGGCAGCGGAGUACACAAAACCAAAUUCACCCUAGAAACCAAAGAGUUCCUUCACCCCCGGGUGGAAGAGCAGUCCAGAACCCACAGGGUGUGGGGGAGGGCGGCACAGCAACCCAAAGGCCUCAACCUUCCCUCUGGAUCUUUCUCCAUGAAUGUUCACUCAUGGCAUCAGAAUUCUACACGUCUCAAGAGAUGAGGUGUUUUUUUUUUUUUUUUCUUUUUUCUCCAUAUUGAGUAAAUAAAACCCGUGGUUGGAAAGACCUUCAGUCUGUCUCUAGACCAGCAAUUCUCCAGGUGCGGUUUCUGGGCCAGUGGCAUCAGCACUGUCUGGACACAAAUGCAAAUAUUCAGCUGCAGCCCAGAAUCAGACCCUCUCGGGUCGGGGUCCAGUAAUCGGUAUUUUAACAAGACCUCGAGGUAAUUCUGACGCCAGCUCAAGUUUGAGAACCACCGCCCAUUCUGUUUUCAAUUCUAAACCCUUACAACAGGACGGACGUCUAAACAGAUCUAUGGGGUGACUUCUACUCUGUUCAAACCUCUGUCAUUUGCCACCCUCUCCCCUUCUCAAACAUUAUAAAAAGUAUUAAUAAAAACAAUCAUGUCAUAAAAUCAAAAAACUUUUAAAAAGGUAAUAUUGAUUUCCCCUCCCAUACAUAGUUCGAAGGCAGGCAAUCACAUGCUAGUAUGCAAAAUAAAAUACAGAAGAGACCUCGUCUAUGAGGUAGAAAUAGCUAAGAAGACUCCCCAAGAACAUAAUGAAAAUUUCAUAAUAUUGUUUAAUGAACUCAUAGAAUUAUAUAAAACUUACUAUGCUUUAUGCUUAAUAUUUGUAUCAAAAUAAAAUCUCUCUGUUGAACAAAUUGCAAAUAAAGUCUGGUCUAAUACUCUUGAUUACUGAAACUAUAAGUAUAUGAACUUCUCUGGGUUUUCUUAACACUCCAGUUUGAGAAGCUUUCAACUACCUCUGUAUAACUGGGUUUGGGUUAUAACCACAGUUCCCAUUUCUAAGUCUAGAUUCUUCUAUUAGGUACCUCCCUUCAAAAAAACAUUUUAGAAACUCUGGUGACUAUUUCAUUAAAGUUCAUACCAAAGUAGAUACUUUUAACCAGUUCCAAAAAAUGGAAACGUUCCAUUAAAACGGUUUUUAAAUCUUUGAAAUCUGAAGGUCUAAUUUAAAGUAACAACAUAAUGCCAUUUUCUGCAUGCGAUUUGUAAGAACGUUAUACGGAAGGUUCACUUCCUUGCAACGACAGUCUUGAAACUGCUAAUUAAGCAGGUGUGAAAGCAGUAAAUGUGACGGCAGCAGCUUCACAGUAAAGUCUCAGCAAUAAAUGUCCAACCGCAAGGGGACAGGAAAUGUGAGCAGCCUGUAUCCUCAUGAGCACUUCGCAGACCAGCAUGCCACUUACUCUCUGGAGGACUCUCUCUACAAUAGGUGAUGGACACUAAGUGGUCAUUUGAACAGUAGACCUAGCCAGAACGGUACCCACUUUUUCUCAUUUCUAGGUGGUCUGCAUGUGGAUCAGACGGCAAGGAGGACCAAUCAGAUCCAUGAAGACAUUUACCUUGAAGAUGGAGGAAGACAUAGACAGUGGUGUGGAAACGGAAGAUUUUCAUGUGUUAAGAGGGCAGAUGGUAAGAAAUGAUGUCUGGUAAAUCAUAAAAGAGAAAUUACUACCUCUAAGGAGCUAGGGGAAAAAAAGGAUGGCUAGGCUAAGUAACAUUUAAAGCAGCAAUUUGUAUCUUUUGAUACAUUUAAAGUUUUAACCUUCUGUUUUUAUAGACUUUUACUGGAAUUCCCUUUUUAAAAUCAACUCCACUAUGAAAAAUGCUCGACCAGGUGUCUCUUUUUAAGCAACUAUUGAUAUAUUUCAGUAAAUCUAAUUUUCUUAAUGACAACAGUUGAAAUACUAAAAUUUAUCUUGUAAUUGUUUUUCAUACCCUGACUCUUAGCCAAGGUGGUUAGAAAUACAUUCUUUUAUAACUUUGCUUUUGCGAUAAAAAACAUUAAGCAUAUAAAACCAUCUACACUAGAGCAACACGACACUAAAUAUUUUCUCAAAGUCAGGAAAUUCAGAUAGCUUUCUCAGCAACUUCAAUGCCUCCGUAACAAGGAAACUAUUCUCACAAAUAGGUCUUGGCGAUCACUGUGUUUAAUUAGGUAAUGCCUAUUCGGUGGGAAUUCUGCUUAUUUUACUUAUUCUGCCAUUCUCUGAACUGAAAAGACCACUGAUGUUUACUUAUACUGAACCUGAACUUAUUCUACAAUCUCUGAUUGAAAAAACAAACCGACACAUAAAGCAGUUUGUUAUGUUAUGUAUAUAAAAUUACCUGGACAAAAGGCAGACCUGUGAGCAAAGGAAACUUAAGGUCAACUGGUCAGUAAUUAACUCCAGAUUCAUCAAACACAAAGCUGUCCUCUAACGAUUUGGCAAAGGUAUACCAAAACGACAGCCAAAACGCCUUUUAAAAACACCAGAAAACAUCCAUAUUACACUGAAUGAGGUCCUUCAAAUCUUAAUAAAAAUUAUUUUUUAGAUGAGGGAAAAAAAUGCAGCAUGAGUGCUAUACAAACUCUAUCACCCAGAAGAUUUUUUAAAAUUAAAAAAAAGAAAAAUAAACCUCAAGUAGCACUGAAAUUAAAAGUGAAAUGAAUAAAAAAUAGUCUGUCACGAAGAAGGAAACUUCAGAGUGAUAUUAAGAACAAAGAAGUAGAAAGACGACAUGAAAAAUAAACCUCAGGAAAAAAAUAAUCUCUACUGGAAAUAAAAGGAAGUUAGUAAUACUUGGUAUGAGAGCUAUCGUCAAGUUUUCUAAAAAUAAUAUACACACGCACGUGUAUUUAUAGUUUACACAUGUGUGUAUAUAUUUUCAUACAUACAUAUAUAUGUUCCAUCUGAGCUCUAAGGUUGAAAAUAAGUUAUGUUUCACAAGUCUCAUUUAUAGGUACUUGCUAAUUCUACCUAAGUAAUUACCAAAGGGCACCUGCUGUAGUCAGAAGCCCUGCCUCAUUUCAAUGGAAACUUGGCAAUGAUUCUUACAGUAAGACUUGCUCAAAAUCGUUGUAAGAUACUAUGCAUAAAUAACAGGUUCUUUCAAGCGUGGAAAGAUGACAAUUAAGAAAUGCUGAGAAAGAGUAUAAGCUUGUUAGAGGUUAAAAGAAGCCUUCCAGCCAGAAUCCAGAAAGAGUUAUCAGAUGGAAACCACACUCCACCCCUUGACUGGCUGGAAAAACAACAAGGAAACGAGGAACACUUAGACGCUAUGGCAGAGCAGUGGACUAGUUCAAGUAUGGAAAGAGAAAGUCGGGUGACAAGGGGUUAACCGAAAGCCCCUGAAAGACACUAUAAUUCUGUCUUCAUAUUAUCAAAACGCUCUUGAACAUGUGUCUAGCUGGUGUUCUAGUCCUGCAUAUAUGGGGGAGAAGAGAUCAUCGUCGAUGAGAAAAUUAUUUUUCACAGAUAUCCUCACAUCGAGGAGACCCAAUUUUCACCUGGACUACGUCUUGAGUUCGGUCGUAAGGCUGGACACACAUAGGUAUAUGGCAAGCAUUUUUCCUUUCCUUCUGACUAAAGCAGGCUGAGCGCCAUCGGCCAUGGUGAGAGGCGGUGAUCGGACACGGCGCAGAGAAAGCGAAGUGCUGUGGCCUGCUGGCUCAGUUUUCCAACUGUGAUUUAUACGAACCACGAACACGUCUGCAGUCUGCAGGCCUGCGUCUGCCACCUCACGGGAGCCCACAGCCUGUGGCAGGAAGCCACGCACAAGCGGGGUACACGCGGAGCAGGGGGAAGGGGAUCUAAGAGGCGCGCUCCAUUUGUGCCCUGGCUUCUCACCUUUACCCUAAGGCACCGUCCAGCCCAGACUGUCUGCGCCUUACAGGGGGCGGGGCCGGCGCACGUACACUAAACUCCAGCCAUGUGCGAAAUGGAAGUAGUGUUUCUUCAUCCUUGCCACUUCCAGUCUGGUUUCCAAAAUGUACUGUGGAUACAGGAUGGCCUGUCAAAAGUAGUAGUCUUCUAAAAAAAACAUUUUGAAUAGAUCAUCGGGAAGGCUGGGUUCAUGUGAAAGGUUCCUCAGCCUUGUCUUACUAAAAUGGUUUUUUUAAAUGUUAGAUAGUAGUUUCCAGAUCUCUCUGAAACAGAAAAGUAGAACUACUAGAUUGGGAAAAUAAUGACAUGCAUGACUUCAACUGUGUGACAAGAUCGCAAGUUUUUAAGAGGGUAAACAUUUUCCUUUGGUUUUUUACCAAAGUUCAUUCAAAACAAUUGUUAGACUGUAGACUAUUUAAGAUAGCUAUUUAAAUUUUCUAUUUUUGUACAAGUUCAAUAGGAGUAUUUUAGAAGAAUCGAAAGACAUGAAAAACAAGGGUAGUUUUCUGCCCCAGAUUUUGAUGAAUUUUGAUAUAUUUUUGACAAACACUAUAUUUCUUCUUUAGUGAUGUUCCUCAAACAAAAGAGCUAGCAAAAUAUUUGAAUUGCCAUGUAUAAUGUCACAUUUUAAUGUAAACAUCAAAUAAGGUACCAAAAUUUUUACUGGAGGAAAAUAAAAAAACAAACCUUAAAGCGGCACAAUUCUUUAUACCACUGGAGAAGUGGGGAAAACCAGGUU